GGCUGAGUAGUUCAGUUGGUAGAAUACGUGCUUUGGGUGUUUAACAAACAAGUACGUGGUCCUCGGUUCAAUCCCGAGUUCAGCCC